ensembl:ncRNA asRNA:CR44119 antisense RNA:CR44119
AUAUCCUCCAGGAUUACCAAGGACGUUGAGUUCAGAACCACAGAAAGGGAGCUCAAGGCAGCUCCAAAUAUGCCGGCUAUAAACAAACCAGACAUACCAUAGAUAUGACCCACACUCUGAACGACAAAGAGCGGCAGUAGCUGAUCGUCGUGCUGCAAGGAAAUAAACAUUAGCAGUCCCACAUAACAACAAACAGAGACGAAGGCAGCCACGCCAAUUGUAAAAAUGGCCAUGGAAGCACGAGCCUUCUUGAGCGAUGGAAGAGACAUGUAUCGCUGGACCAUGGUCUGGUUGACGGCAUUGAAUGAGGUCCAGUAGGAGAAUCCCCCGAUUAGGACGCUCCAAACAGUGUGCCUUACAUAAGGCGAUGGGUUUGUAUUGUUAAAGAUCAAUCGGCCACCUUUGGCAGCAUCAUCGAAAAGGACAUUCAAGCCAUUUGCAUAGACAGUGGCCAAAAUAGCCACAGCAAGAACGGAAAGGAACAUGACCAGCACCUGCCAAGCAUCUGUGUGGACCACUGCUUUGAUUCCUCCCUGAAAAUAGGCGCCAUUAGUAUAAAAACAUACGUAUGAAACUCUCUAAAACUUACGACAAAGGUGUAGAAAACACACACGACCACAAUUACCACUGCAAUCACAUGGAGAUUAAUGCCCGAUACUGCAAGAUUAUCGAAAGAUUAAAGUUGUGUUUCAAACAAUUAACAAAUGCGGCUUACCCUGAUUCAGAGCUAUAGCUGGUACAUACACAAUGAAAGGCAGAAACAGAAUCUAAAAUUGGAUCGACAAUUAUUACAACAUUGCAGUCCAAAUAUUAUCUUUGACUUACCUCAUCCAGAAUAAACAUAAAGGAUGCAAUACUUCGUACGACCGAAUGAAAGCGCAUCUCCAAGUACUGAAAGCAAUAUUAUAUUUCAUAAUUCAAAUGACUUGCGUUUAGGAUUCGAAAACUAACGUCAUAAAGACCGAAAACGAAAACUAAUUGCUCGACACAAUUGUCAAGUGGCAGAAAACCACAUUGCAAUUAAUCAUAUCGAACCGCUGGAACCCAGAAAAAAGUCGCAACAAGUGGGCGAGUGCAAAGUCCAAGAAAUUCCACUUGAGGGGAGGGUGGUCUCCGAUUCCCAGUUAAUUAAAGUGUUCACUACGUCCUCCGUUCAUUGAUUGGACAAAAGUGACGGAGCGAAAGGGGGAAGACGGAAACAUCUUAGAAAGUUUGUCAUUCUUAUCAGCAACCACUACAGAUGAACUUGUCUAUCUUUAUUUUAACUAACUCGUCAUUGAAAGAAAUGGUUCAUUGACUGGAUGAUCAAUCGGAGCCGAUCGAAUCUCAGAGAAGAGACUUCAACCUUUUACGCAAUAUCUCGAGCAGCAGCAGCAUUAUCGCCCUGGACUUGGACUUUGUAACCCAAAUGCCGUGUCCCCCGCUCCAAAGUUCCUAAAUAGCUCUUAAUGUUUGGAACCGGCGAAAUGUGCAAAAUACGUACCGCUUCCAUAUUGUUGGGGACCGGCAAACGCUAGGCUUUACAAUGGUGGGGGUGGCUUCCGUAACUGGAGCAGCGGAGGUGAAUGGAAAAUUGCGCGUCCCUCACGAAAAUCAACAGCAAAGCAACGCACGAUAAACGGCCAGAAAGAGCAAACUACCAACAAAUUCUGCGAAACGUAAUGAAAAUUUUCUUGUGGCAAAAAGGGUCAACGGAUUCCGUGUAUUUCCAUUGGUUUUUAAAAAAGGGUUCUAUAAACGUACAAAGUUAAUCACAUGGAACACAUUAAAACAAAACUCGGAAACGCACGGAAAAGUUUUUCAGGUCUGUUCUGUGCGCUUUUGCCCGAUUCUUUGAAGUCGAAAAUACGAGUGUACAAAAGCGAAAUAUUCCACGUCCGAAUCGGAGCAACAACAUCAACCGAUUCCGCUUCCGAACUGCAACUGAUGUCUGCGAGCGGGUCGAAAAUAAAAGCCACUAGGCCAGCUGCUCGACAAAAACAAGUGGGACAGCUAGAAUGGAGAGUACCGAUCAAAGUAUACCCAUUACCUCAUAUUUAACAUAGGAACAACGGAACAGAAUAAAAAUAAAAUGUAUAAAUAAAACUAAAUGUAU